GUGCCAGCAGCGCGGUAAUACCGGCGCCUCAAGUGGUAGUCGCUUUUAUUGGGCCUAAAACGUCCGUAGCCGGUCGUGAUACAUUCGUGGGUAAAUCAACUAGCUCAACUAGUUGAAUUCUGCGAGGACGGUCAGACUUGGGACCGGGAGAGGUGUGGGGUACGCUCAGGGUAGGGGUAAAAUCCUGUCAUCCUAAGCGGACCACCUGUUGCGAAGGCGCCACACUAGAACGGAUCCGACGGUCAGGGACGAAGCCUAGGGGCACGAACCGGAUUAGAUACCCGGGUAGUCCUAGGUGUAAACGCUGUGGACUUGAUGUUGGGGGCGCUCCGAGCGCUUCCAGUGUCGAAGCGAAGGUGAUAAGUCCACUGCCUGGGAAGUACGGUCGCAAGGCUGAAACUCAAAGGAAUUGGCGG
rnacentral:rRNA from 1 species